rnacentral:rRNA from 1 species
GAGAGUUUGAUCCUGGCUCAGGAUGAACGCUAGCUACAGGCUUAACACAUGCAAGUCGAGGGGCAGCAUUUUAGUUUGCUUGCAAACUGAAGAUGGCGACCGGCGCACGGGUGAGUAACACGUAUCCAACCUGCCGAUAACUCGGGGAUAGCCUUUCGAAAGAAAGAUUAAUAUCCGAUAGUAUAUUAAAACCGCAUGGUUUUACUAUUAAAGAAUUUCGGUUAUCGAUGGGGAUGCGUUCCAUUAGUUUGUUGGCGGGGUAACGGCCCACCAAGACUACGAUGGAUAGGGGUUCUGAGAGGAAGGUCCCCCACAUUGGAACUGAGACACGGUCCAAACUCCUACGGGAGGCAGCAGUGAGGAAUAUUGGUCAAUGGACGAGAGUCUGAACCAGCCAAGUAGCGUGAAGGAUGACUGCCCUAUGGGUUGUAAACUUCUUUUAUAUGGGAAUAAAGUUUUCCACGUGUGGAAUUUUGUAUGUACCAUAUGAAUAAGGAUCGGCUAACUCCGUGCCAGCAGCCGCGGUAAUACGGAGGAUCCGAGCGUUAUCCGGAUUUAUUGGGUUUAAAGGGAGCGUAGGUGGAUUGUUAAGUCAGUUGUGAAAGUUUGCGGCUCAACCGUAAAAUUGCAGUUGAAACUGGCAGUCUUGAGUACAGUAGAGGUGGGCGGAAUUCGUGGUGUAGCGGUGAAAUGCUUAGAUAUCACGAAGAACUCCGAUUGCGAAGGCAGCUCACUAGACUGCAACUGACACUGAUGCUCGAAAGUGUGGGUAUCAAACAGGAUUAGAUACCCUGGUAGUCCACACAGUAAACGAUGAAUACUCGCUGUUUGCGAUAUACAGUAAGCGGCCAAGCGAAAGCAUUAAGUAUUCCACCUGGGGAGUACGCCGGCAACGGUGAAACUCAAAGGAAUUGACGGGGGCCCGCACAAGCGGAGGAACAUGUGGUUUAAUUCGAUGAUACGCGAGGAACCUUACCCGGGCUUAAAUUGCAUUUGAAUAAUCUGGAAACAGGUUAGCCGCAAGGCAAAUGUGAAGGUGCUGCAUGGUUGUCGUCAGCUCGUGCCGUGAGGUGUCGGCUUAAGUGCCAUAACGAGCGCAACCCUUAUCUUUAGUUACUAACAGGUCAUGCUGAGGACUCUAGAGAGACUGCCGUCGUAAGAUGUGAGGAAGGUGGGGAUGACGUCAAAUCAGCACGGCCCUUACGUCCGGGGCUACACACGUGUUACAAUGGGGGGUACAGAAGGCAGCUACCUGGCGACAGGAUGCUAAUCCCAAAAACCUCUCUCAGUUCGGAUCGAAGUCUGCAACCCGACUUCGUGAAGCUGGAUUCGCUAGUAAUCGCGCAUCAGCCAUGGCGCGGUGAAUACGUUCCCGGGCCUUGUACACACCGCCCGUCAAGCCAUGAAAGCCGGGGGUACCUGAAGUACGUAACCGCAAGGAGCGUCCUAGGGUAAAACUGGUAAUUGGGGCUAAGUCGUAACAAGGUAGCCG